GGUGAAGAACGUAGCGAAAUGCGAUACGUAAUGUGAAUUGCAGAAUUCAGUGAAUCAUCGAAUCUUUGAACGCAUAUUGCGCUCUCUGGUAUUCCGGAGAGCAUGCUUGUUUGAGUAUCAGUAAACACCUCAACUUCCAUAUCUUUUUUGAAAUGGGAGUUGGACUUGAGUGAUCCCAACGCUUUUCCUCACCGAAAAGUGGCGGGUUACUUGAAAUGCAGGUGCAGCUGGACUUUUCUCUGAGCUAUAAGCAUAUCUAUUUAGUCUGCCUAAAAAACAGAUUAUUACCUUUGCUGCAGCUAACAUAAAGGAGAUUAGUUCUUGUGCUGACUGAUGCAGGAUUCACAAAGACAGGCUUCGGCCGACUUUGUAAACUCGAUCUCAAAUCAAGUAAGACUACCCGCUGAACUUAAGCAUAUCAAUAACGGAGGA
rnacentral:misc_RNA from 1 species